rnacentral:lncRNA from 13 species
UUAAUACUUCGCAGCUUUUCUUCUUCUUGUUUACCAUUACUUCCAUGUGUUAUGAACACUCGCAAGGUUUACUGUUAAACAAUAUCUUUUUAUUCAGAACUGUUUGCAGAGAAAAAUGAUAGCAUCUCUCAGAUAAUCCAAGCUACUCUAAAGAACUGAAAGCUUCCUAUUGAAAUCGAUUGUCUCUUCAAACUCUCAAGUUUUCCUUUACUUUUAUAUUGUGAUUUACCUGUACUGUCACAUAAAAUGCACAUUACAAAAAUUAAUGGUAAUUGUGUACUAUAAAAGAAAUAGCUUUGAAUAGCUUGAUCUUUUGACGGGACUGACCCGUUUGCGCACAUAAACUAUUGGACACGGAUCUUAUUGCACAAUGACCCUAUUGCACAUGGACCCGAUUGGACACGGUCCCUAUUGCACACGGACCGGAUCGGACACAGUCCCGAUUGCACACGACCGAUUGCACACGGACUUGAUUGCACACGAUUGGAAACUGCACGAUUUGUCGGUAGGGAACCGAUUAAGACGGGGUGAGUGCGGGAGGAGUUAGGCCUACAGCACCCCACCGUGCGUGCGUGCGUGCGUGCGUGCGUGCGUGUGCAUUCUAGUGCGGUUUCCAAUCGUGUGCAAUCGGAUCCGUGCGCAAUCAGUUCGUGUAAUCAAAUUUGUGUGCAAUAGGGCCCAUGUCUGAUUGGGAAAUGAUCUCGUGUCCGAUAGUUUAUGUGCGCAAUCGGGCUUUACUCUUGUAUUGCGGACAUAAAGAAUAUAACUUAAUCCAACCUAAAUUUUUGUCGCAAUUGACCACGUUCUAAUUGACCAGGUUGUCACGUAGAAAGUUGGAAUAAUGUAAUAUAAUACCCACGUGGAAUAAUGUAAUAUAACUAUAAAUCUUGUUUCGUCUCAUAAGCAGGGAAAUGUGGAAUGUACCUCGUUUUGCGUUGCAAAGUACUGUGGAUAUGGAGGAUCUUUACCUUUCCUAUGGAAGGGCAAAAUCCGAAAAGUGAACCUUAUUUUGCUAAGAAAUACUCAUUUAAAUUGUCAACUACAUUUAUUAAUAAUGUUUAACAAAUAAUGAAGGACGGCUAAAACCUCCUGGAGGUCAGUAUCAUGAUCUUGAACAUACGAGGGUUGUCUGAAAAGUUUCCAACUUAACAACGAAACAAGACAUUUUUUUCUUCAAAUUUAUUUUUUAUUUUUUUUAUAUUUCUACAUAGUCUCCUUGUAAGUCUAUACUCACUUCUCCUAACGAUGCUCCCAUCUCUUCAACUCGUCCAAAUAGUACUUGGCGUCUUUCUUUGCAAAAUAGUUGUUUACGAAGGUGAUAGCUUCCUUAUUCAACAAAAAUCCCUGUUCUUUGAAUGCAAUUUUUAGCUUAGGGAACAAAAAAAGUCGCUUGGAGCUAAAUCUGGUGAGUAAGAAGGGUAGUCAAGCAAUUCAAACCGUAAUUCGUAGAUUUUCGCCAUGCCAACCGCUGAGGUGUGACCCAACUGCGCGGAGCAAACGCGGCACCCAACGCGCGGUCAUCUUUUUUAUGCGUAAAUCUUGAUUCAAUAUGUGACAAACACGUUUUUGGAUAUAUUUAUAACCUCUGUUAUCUCUCUAACCUUAAUUUGCAGUUGUCUAGCAUCAUUUAGUGAACUUGAGUGAUGUUAUCGUCAAGGGUUGCAAUUUUUGGCCGUCCCAAACGUUCAUCGUUACUCAAGCUGAUACAAUCACGUUUAAAUUCAGUUGCCCAAAAUUUCACGGUAGUAAAUGAUAGUGCAGAGUCCCCGUCUAUAGCAUCCAACUCGUCUUUAAUUUGCGUAGGCGUAUUGCCUUUCAAAAACAAAUAUAUAAUAACAGCUUGAUAUUUGAUUUCUUUCAUUUUUACAAAAACAUUCACAUUGAUUCACUCAAACGAUUGUCAAACAACAACUGCGUGUCCAAAAUGGUUAAAAUUUUGGUGAGUAUCUUUUAGUAGUACCUAAGCAUGCGCAAACACAUUCCCACUUUUGUUGACGAGUGCUACCAUCUUUAUGUUGAGAUCGGAAACUUUUUAGACAAACUUCAUAUAUGAAGGUUAAGGUGAUUGAAGCUAGUUCCCCUAUAGUGAAUAAUUAACAAAUUUAUGUUGCAACUGUUAUAAAGAGAUAUUCUACGUGUUAGUUAUCAAUAAACAUUUCUACAAAAAUUACACUUUAAUUAGCAUUAUACGUUAUUUUAAACAAAAUUCUUGAACAACGAAAAUAAAAGUACAAUUAAAAACUAAUAAGAUUACAACACAGAUAACAUUAACACAAAUUAAUUGAUCAUUAACAAAAUUUUAUUCAUAAAUCUAAUCAAACUCGCUUUGAAGUCAUCCUUAAUGUACUACAUAAUAAAAUUUGAAGUAAUUAUCUAGCCAUCGUCGGUCCAAAACGCGGAUGAGUCACUAUAAACAGGUUGCCAAGACCGAAGUGGCAUCUUCACCCAUCAAAUGUGGUGGUAAAGGAGAUGACAUAAUCUUCUCCAAGAGGCCGACGAAAACCACUGAAUAAGUGUUUCCACUUUGAGGAGAAAUUUCCCAUUUCAGGGAAUUUUUGAACUUUUGAAGGAAGAAGAUGAAAUAGGGAAAAAUGAGGAAAAAUUUAACAAAAUCGAAAAAAUAAUAAAAAACAUAUAUAGUUAUCCUUAUUAAUAAAUCCCUUUUUGACUGUACUAAGUUUAUUUAAUCAAAAAUGUGUAAUUUCUUUGAAUUUUAUUAAGUUUAAAAAUUAUGUAUGUUAUUGUAUUUACAGAUUAUAUAUAGGGAAAUGUGGGGUAAAGUGGGACACGUUUUUAUUUUUCCGUAAAAAAAUUUAAAAGAAAUCAUAUUUUUGUAAACCUGAGAUGUCCAUUCGAUAGAGAAUUUCAUUAGUUAACUUUCUACGGAAUUUCAAAAUUAUACUUUUUAUUAUAUUUUUGUUCAGAUUUUCUAAAAAGUGAGUUUUUAGUCAUUUUAAAAUAUUGUGGGGUGAAGUGGGACACGAUGAUAUUUGUCAAAUUUGAUUAAAAAUCAAGUAAGAAUCGUCUGAAAUAGAAUUUGUAAUGUUUAUUUGAGGAGGGAUUCCGGUUUUUCGGGUAAAAAGAAUCGAUUUUUUUUUACGGAAUAUUUUAGUUUAACAUCUCAAAAAUAUCUCCAAAAAAUUUUAUUUCAAAAUUCGUAAAACUUCCGGAGUUAUGAGUCGAUCUUUACUGACCCGAACGCAGAUCUUGAUAAAUUCGUCCAUGAACCGCCACUACAUGAAGAUGUUCAGCAAGCCUUAAAGCCAAUUUUUGAAGAUUCACCAUCAAAAAAAUUGUUAGAAAGAUGUUUGAAUGGUGAAACUCAAAAUAAUAAUGAGAGUUUUUACUCUACCUGCGAUUCGCAACUAAACACCCUCAUUGUGAAUCAGAAAUAAUUGAAAUCGCGGCUUAUUUAGCAACUGAAAUUUUUAAUGAAGGUUUUUGUGCUGUCCUUAAAACUAUGACAACGAUAGGAAGAGUUAUAGGAGAAAAGACCAAAAUAUAUUCCGAAGAGUGAGAUCAAUACCGGCUUGAAAGAUCAGCGCGACGAAGCGUCGAGGUUCCAAAAGAAGCUCGGACAAAGUGUAGAAGCAAACAAAUGGCUCAAAACCAAUUCUACGAAGAAAAGGAAGGACUAUUAUAUGGCCCUGGAAUAGCUAAGUAACAGAAAGUCAUAUUACCUGGAAGAUCAAUAUCGUGCACACCAGUACAUGAAGAAUUUUGCGCAGCGUUAUAUUUAAUCAUAUGUAGUUUUUAUAUUUAUAAUUAAAAAUUAACAAAAAAAAACUGUACGUUCUUAAAAGAUGGAUUAAAACAUGUUGCAAAUUUCAAAUUAAUUGAAUAGUUAGUUUGGGAAAAAAAAGUUCUUAAACUUUGCUAUGUUUUUGGCCAAAAAACCGGAAUCCCCUCCUUAAUGAUUCGAGAAUGAAAAUAUAUCAAUAAUAGGUAAUUACGAACCAAGGUAUCAAGCACCAAAGUUGACGACUAUUGAAGUUAGGAUACCUAUCAUCGACGAGAUGUAGCGACUUAAGCAUGCGUUGUGGUUAGCAUGCACGUGACCUUCAGCUUUAAUGGUGCGUCCCAUUUUACCCCAUAAAAAAUGUCCCAUUUCACCCGAAUCCAAUGUUUCGAAAUUAUGACGCGUAUCAUCGAAAAUAUGUUAGUUUCGUAUAAAAACUCUUUGCAAUUACAAAACUAAACAACAAACGAGAACUUUGUAUAUAUUUACCUUCUUCAAAUUGUGGGAAAGACUAUUGAAAAUAAAAACUUCGUAAAUGUCGGAAAAAA